CGUCUUUAACCUGGUGUCUUUCCUUUGAGAAGGAGGGGUGGGAACCCAGAGAGGGACAAAGGAUUCCCGCCUUAUGCAAAAGAUAUACAAAGGGGUGGAACAGAACAAAGCAGGAGGAGCCAUCCUGAAGAAUCCCCUAGCCACCACCUGAGCUGGAACAAGAGCUGUACCAGGGGAAAGAAUUGUGCCCAGGCCUGGGAGGUGUCCAGUCUGAGGAAAAAACUUACUGAAGCAGCUCUGAGGGAAUUACAGAACUUGACGUCCAGGCAUCCAGACCUGAUGAUCGUUGUGCUAGCUCCCCCCAACACCUCUGCCAGUGGGUGUGAGGAGAAUCCCAGCUGGAAGAGUCAAUCUGUCAUGCACCUCUCUCCCUGGUUGCUCACCCUUAAGAGGGAGGAACUGCCAUCCAGUCUCUAUCCCCAUCUUAACUCUCCCCUCCUAGUGACCCACCUAACCCCCAUGGCCCCUCUGCCCAUGGGGUAUGAAAUAGAGCAGGAAUAUGAACAUCCAGGAAACACAGAGUAGCCUCCCUCUGUAUCGAGUUUGCCAAGUAGGUUUCA